rnacentral:rRNA from 1 species
UACAGAGGUCUCAAGCGUUGUUCGGAUUCAUUGGGCGUAAAGGGUGCGUAGGCGGCGGGGUAAGUCGGAUGUGAAAUCCCAGGGCUCAACCCUGGAACUGCAUUCGAUACUGCCUUGCUCGAGUACUGGAGAGGAGACUGGAAUUUACGGUGUAGCAGUGAAAUGCGUAGAGAUCGUAAGGAAGACCAGUGGCGAAGGCGGGUCUCUGGACAGUUCCUGACGCUGAGGCACGAAGGUCAGGGGAGCAAACGGG